UGUCACACAUCCAUCACAGCUAUAAAAUUUAGAGGAGAAAAUCAUACUGGCACUGUGCAGCUGGAGAAAUUUGCAGAGAGAAGUACUGUUUGGAGAUGAAGGAUUCGGAGGAGGGUUUAGAAAUAAGAUACUCGCUUCAACACCUGGCAGAAAACAAAAGAAAAAUGUAACUUUGCAAAAUGCUCUUGGAGAUGGUAUCCACUUUGCCUUUCUCAGGGACUAUGCAAAGGCCUCUCAAUCAAGAGCUUACCUAUAUGACUAGUCUCACCAGCCAGAUUGCUGUAUUUGAAUAUCCUCCAUCUCCAGCUUCUGAAACGAGAAUUACAGGAGGACCACCGUACCCACCCAGCAUGCUUGAGUUCUGAGAAUCUUAACUCAUAUUUUCAUACUUAGGAGUACUUUAGGCACUGAGUCAUCUCCCUAUACAAGAUCAAGUUCUACUUGGUUGUUUUGCAGAUGAACAUCUGACAUUUUGAAUCACUUAACCAAGUCUACAUACAUAGAAAAUCAUGGGUCUUGGUCAUCGUGGAUUGAAGCCCUAUACCUUAUCAUUUCUUUUUAAAGAAAGAAUAGAAACAGACAGAGUAAGACUGUUAUCCUAAAUAUAAUAACAGCAAGUG